AACGUAGGACGCAAGCGUUAUCCGGAGUUACUGGGCGUAAAGCGCGGGCAGGCGGUUCUGCCAGUCUGAUGUGAAAUCUCCUCGCUCAACGGGGAGCAGCCAUUGGAAACUACAGAACUGGAGUCUGACAGAGGUAGGCGGAAUUCCAGGUGUAGCGGUGAAAUGCGUAGAUAUCUGGAGGAACACCGGUGGCGAAGGCGACAUCCUGGACCGGUAUUGACGCUGAGGCGCGAAAGCCAGGGGAGCAAACGGG
rnacentral:rRNA from 1 species